GACGAACGCUGGCGGCGUGCCUAAUACAUGCAAGUAGAACGCUGAAGGAGGAGCUUGCUUCUCUGGAUGAGUUGCGAACGGGUGAGUAACGCGUAGGUAACCUGCCUGGUAGCGGGGGAUAACUAUUGGAAACGAUAGCUAAUACCGCAUAACAGUAGAUAUCGCAUGAUAUCUACUUGAAAGGUGCAAUUGCAUCACUACCAGAUGGACCUGCGUUGUAUUAGCUAGUUGGUGAGGUAACGGCUCACCAAGGCGACGAUACAUAGCCGACCUGAGAGGGUGAGCGGCCACACUGGGACUGAGACACGGCCCAGACUCCUACGGGAGGCAGCAGUAGGGAAUCUUCGGCAAUGGACGGAAGUCUGACCGAGCAACGCCGCGUGAGUGAAGAAGGUUUUCGGAUCGUAAAGCUCUGUUGUAAGAGAAGAACGAGUGUGAGAGUGGAAAGUUCACACUGUGACGGUAUCUUACCAGAAAGGGACGGCUAACUACGUG
rnacentral:rRNA from 1 species